GAUGAACGCUAGCUACAGGCUUAACACAUGCAAGUCGUGGGGCAUCAUGAUGUAGUAAUACAUGAUGGCGACCGGCGCACGGGUGAGUAACGCGUAUCCAACCUACCCUCCACUCAAGUAUAGGCUUCCGAAAGGGAGAUUAAUCCUUGAUAUCGUCAUUCUCUCUCCUGUUAGAAUGAUAAAAGGACAUCGUUUCGGUAGAGGAUGGGGAUGCGUUCCAUUAGGUAGUAGGUGGUUUAACAGGCCACCUAGCCGAUGAUGGAUAGGGGUUCUGAGAGGAAUAUCCCCCACACUGGUACUGAGAUACGGACCAGACUCCUACGGGAGGCAGCAGUGAGGAAUAUUGGUCAAUGGGCGCAAGCCUGAACCAGCCAUGUAGCGUGAAGGAUGACGGUUUUUUUGAUUGUAAACUUCUUUUCUGUGCGAUUAAAGUGUGGC
rnacentral:rRNA from 1 species